GUCGAACGGAGUUUGGUUGACUGAAGUCUUCGGAUGGAAGGAGACCAGACUUAGUGGCGAACGGGUGAGUAACACGUGAGCAAUCUGCCUUCGAGUGGGGGACAACAGUUGGAAACGACUGCUAAUACCGCAUAAGACCACGGCCCCGCAUGGGGCUGCGGUCAAAGGAUUUAUUCGCUUGAAGAUGAACUCGCGUCCGAUUAGAUAGUUGGUGAGGUAACGGCCCACCAAGUCAACGAUCGGUAGCCGGACUGAGAGGUUGAACGGCCACAUUGGGACUGAGACACGGCCCAGACUCCUACGGGAGGCAGCAGUGGGGGAUAUUGCACAAUGGGGGAAACCCUGAUGCAGCGACGCCGCGUGAGCGAAGAAGAUCUUCGGAUUGUAAAGCUCUGUCUUAGGGGACGAUAAUGACGGUACCCUGAGAGGAAGCCACGGCUAACUACGUGCCAGCAGCCGCGGUAAUACGUAGGUGGCAAGCGUUGUCCGGAAUUACUGGGUGUAAAGGGAGCGCAGGCGGGCAGACAAGUUGGAAGUGAAAAUCAUGGGCUCAACUCAUGACCUGCUUUCAAAACUGUAUGUCUUGAGUGGUGCAGAGGUAGGCGGAAUUCCCGGUGUAGCGGUGGAAUGCGUAGAUAUCGGGAGGAACACCAGUGGCGAAGGCGGCCUACUGGGCACUAACUGACGCUGAGGCUCGAAAGUAUGGGUAGCAAACAGGAUUAGAUACCCUGGUAGUCCAUACCGUAAACGAUGAUUACUAGGUGUGAGGCGUUACACACGCUUCGUGCCGCAGUUAACACAAUAAGUAAUCCACCUGGGGAGUACGACCGCAAGGUUGAAACUCAAAGGAAUUGACGGGGGCCCGCACAAGCAGUGGAGUAUGUGGUUUAAUUCGACGCAACGCGAAGAACCUUACCAGGUCUUGACAUCCGAUGACAGCUCAAGAGAUUGAGUGUUCCUUCGGGACAUCGAGACAGGUGGUGCAUGGUUGUCGUCAGCUCGUGUCGUGAGAUGUUGGGUUAAGUCCCGCAACGAGCGCAACCCUUAUCGUCAGUUACUACGCAAGAGGACUCUGGCGAGACUGCCGUUGACAAAACGGAGGAAGGUGGGGAUGACGUCAAAUCAUCGUGCCCUUUAUGACCUGGGCUACACACGUACUACAAUGGCGCUUAACAGAGAGCAGCAAAGCCGCGAGGCCAAGCGAACCUCAAAAACAGCGUCUCAGUUCGGACUGCAGGCUGCAACUCGCCUGCACGAAGCCGGAAUUGCUAGUAAUCGCGGAUCAGAAUGCCGCGGUGAAUACGUUCCCGGGCCUUGUACACACCGCCCGUCACACCAUGAGAGCCGGGGGGACCCGAAGUCAGUCGUCUAACCGCAAGGGGGACGCU
rnacentral:rRNA from 1 species